CUUGAUCAUUUUCAAGAAAGUACAUUCUAGUAUACAAUCGCCUCUAUUUCGUGGCUUGAAAGAGACUAACUCUUAAACUUUUUUUUUUGGUUUAAUAUAACUCUAAACUAUUCAUGCUUAUAUAUUUUGAUAAGCUGUUGUUUGAGACAUUGGAAGCAAUUCCAGUCAAGGCGUUAUGCUUUCAUAAGCUUGUUAGAGCUGGUACUUCAAGUAGUGAUUUCCUUUCUUGUAUUGUUGAAUGAUAUUUGCUUCAUAUCGGACAUAUAAAGCGCUGUCCAUAAACGAAUCCAUACAUCAUCUCGAGUCUAAUCAAAGCCAGAUACUGGAGGUCGUUUUUUCAAUAGAUCGGUUGCUCUUCAUCACCGAGUUGGAGGCACGAGGCUCAGGCUCAUCCCUUUUACAGAAGAUCUCGAGCUUGGAGCGGUGGAACGACGUUUUCUAGGCUGAAGAGAAGAGGGGCGGUGGUUACUGGUGGUCGGAGUUAUCUUGGGGUCGAGACGAACACGGCGCCUUUCGUCUAAACCCGAGUGAACUUGGACGGCUCUGCUCCUUCGAAGACGUGAACAGAGUCCAUCGGGGCUGUCGUGUGGUAGUCAGAUUGGCUCUAGUAUGGCAUGUUCUUUGCCUCCCUGCUGCCGUAAAGACAACCUUGUCCACGAAUCUUUGUCCACACAACCUUAAGUGACAACAUCGUUUUCUCCGUCGUUGUCUUGUCCAUGGAUGACUUCAAGAGAUGUAACAAUCAAAGGUUGAAGACGGGACUGUUUGACGAAACAAAACAGAGUCUCCCCUGUCACCCUCAUGGUUGUGGAGCCUCUCAAUUCUGCAAUUCAGAUUUAUUAAUGUGAGGAAGACGUUUGUUGUUGGAGAAGGACAAGACAUCAAGAAGGAGCUUGUUGUUGCUGGAGGGAUUAUCCUUUUCUUCACAAGGAAGAACUUCAAUAUCAGGAAGAAACGAUCACGUACGGUAAUUAAAAAGAUAGUUUCUUAUCAGUUAUGUGAUUAGCUUUUGUUUUCGAAGUUGGAACCUUUAGUCGUGUGGUGUUUGAUUGGGUACGUAUGUGUUGAUGUUCUUUAUCAAAGCUUAAAGAUUUUAUCGUUUGGGGAGAUGAAACGUGUGUGUUGCUUGAUGUGUCUUUUCUAAUUUAAGAGCUUUUGUCUUAUAGUGGCUUUAGUUUUCUUUCUUUGAUUGAGAUCCCUAUGGACUGAUCAGACUUCUAGUUCUGGUAGUCCUAAAUGAAUUUGAAGAGGCUUAUCUCUUGUAAAGUUUCGUAGGGUUGUGAACUUUUUGCAGGGGUUUGUGAGGGGUGAUAGCUCUGGUGGUAACAUCGCACAUAAUGUAGCGGUAAGAAUCGGGGACUGAUCUUUUGGGAACAUAUUGUUUAAUCCUAUGUUUGAUAACGGAGUCUGAGACACAUUUGUAUGGGAAGUACUGUGAUUGUGAGAGACCACUGCUACAUGAAAGGAAGCUUUGAAUUUUUGUAUGAGUUGUCCACAAAAUUCUGUCCACAAAAUUUUGUAUAUAAAUUUUGUAGGAUUGAGAUUUUUGUUCACCAUACC